AUACAUGCAGUCGAGCGGACCGACGGGAGCUUGCUCCCUUAGGUCAGCGGCGGACGGGUGAGUAACACGUGGGUAACCUGCCUGUAAGACUGGGAUAACUCCGGGAAACCGGGGCUAAUACCGGAUGCUUGAUUGAACCGCAUGGUUCAAUCAUAAAAGGCGGCUUCGGCUGCCGUUUACAGAUGGACCCGCGGCGCAUUAGCUAGUUGGUGAGGUAACGGCUCACCAAGGCGACGAUGCGUAGCCGACCUGAGAGGGUGAUCGGCCACACUGGGACUGAGACACGGCCCAGACUCCUACGGGAGGCAGCAGUAGGGAAUCUUCCGCAAUGGACGAAAGUCUGACGGAGCAACGCCGCGUGAGUGAUGAAGGUUUUCGGAUCGUAAAGCUCUGUUGUUAGGGAAGAACAAGUACCGUUCGAAUAGGGCGGUACCUUGACGGUACCUAACCAGAAAGCCACGGCUAACUACGUGCCAGCAGCCGCGGUAAUACGUAGGUGGCAAGCGUUGUCCGGAAUUAUUGGGCGUAAAGCGCGCGCAGGCGGUUUCUUAAGUCUGAUGUGAAAGCCCCCGGCUCAACCGGGGAGGGUCAUUGGAAA
rnacentral:rRNA from 1 species